rnacentral:ncRNA from 1 species
AUAAAGCCUUUGAUGGGAGAUAGUAGAUAAUAGAGUUUGAUUCCAGAGAACUUGGGGUAGUGAGAUCCAAGUAUUGUAGCUAUUAUUGAAUGGGUCCCUGAGGUGAUAUCUUGAAAUUUUUAAGAGUAGGGAUAUUCGGGAAAGUCAGCCGUUAAAAUGACAGGGUAUAAAAAAAUUAUAUUUUGAGUACCUGGUAAGAGAUAUAUAACGUAUAGGUGGUAUAGCAGAAUUUUAGUAUUUUGUCCUGUUU